GCGGCCUUCGUCUAUCGGUUAGGACACCAGCCUUUCACGCUGGGGAGAGGGGUUCGACUCCCCUAGGCCGCGCCA
rnacentral:tRNA from 1 species